CAGGACGCCAGGGCGCAUGCGUCCUCUGCCGCCGGUCCCGCGUGCGCCGCGGCGGUCACGGAGCGCACGUCGCGAAACCUCUCAGCGCCAUCUGUAAAAUGGACAUCUUAAGAUACUUACCUGAUGAGGAAACCGACCCUGAUGCCAAAUUAUUCCAAAGGCUGCUCUUGGCCCGGCCCAGUGGCGCUCCUGUUGUGACCCCACCUACUUGGGAGGCUGAGGCUGGAGGAUCGCUAGUGACCAGAAGCUGGAGACAGGCCUGGGCAACACCUUGUCUCAAAAAUAAAACACCAGAGGCUGCUCUUUGUCUUA